AUUUUACGUGGGAGGAAGGAAGACACCGAAAGAUGUUCCUAGCUGGCACAGGCUGUACUGAACACAGGUCUCACCCCACUGUGGGCAGGUGGUGGUGGAGCACAUCUGUCUGUCUCCGUGUUGGUGGCUGUGAUUUGGCAGCUCUGCCGAAGAUUUGUGAGAUGGAGAAGAAAGUGCAGGGUUGGGGUACGGGGAAAGGGGUAAGAAAGGAGAUUAGUCACUUGAGUCAGGAUAAUUUUUCCUGAUGUCAAAGCCUCACCCAGGAGAGCUCUCGCUGUUGCCUGCUUUUAUCUGGAAAACAAUGUGAGCAGUAUCUCUCAAAAUUAGGUCAGGGCUUGCAGAGGCAGGGGCUUGCCAAGGUGCUAACUGCCUGAAUCCUCGGUGGGUUUGCACAGCUCUCUGCUCUGACAAAUGCAUCCUUUGUCCCCCUGAAACGCCUGCCUCUUUUCUCCUUCACCCCUUCACUCCCCCCACAAACAACUGAAUUUGGAAGGUUAAAAAUCACUUCACUUGUCAACUUGAAAGCUCUCCCUCCCACCUCAAGUUGUUUCUCUUCCUGCCCAGGGAAGGCAGCUACUGUGUGUAACCCUGGGGACUGGAACCACUUUGCAAAGAGCGCAAAUCUGCAGUUUUCACAAUGCAGUUGUCAUCUCGGGAGCAGUAUGUGCCUGUCCACCCUGGGAGAGGCUUAGGAAGGCUGUGUCUCAAGCAUUUCAGGGGGCUGCAGAUUUAGGGGGACAGUCCUGGUGGCUUGGUCUUCCUAGGCUUGUCUUGGCUCAGGUUUCUGUGUGGCAACAGCAUGAUAAAAAUUCUAUUCACGCUACCAAAAUGGGAGAAGCAAUAGCAAGAGAGCAGGGCAGCAACAGUCAGUUCUUGUCUGGCUUUGCAGGACGACAUGGCUUUCUCUUAUUUUUUGUUCCUGACACUGUUUGCACUGACUAAGAUAUCAUGAUGAGGAAACACUGUUGAAUCUAAAAGGUGGGUGGGGCCGAAGAAGGGGUGAGAGGAGGCCUUAGAAGCUAAUUAGAAUCCUCUAGAAGUGUGUGGAAAUGGGAACCUGAGCCAGGAAAGUCCGUGGAUUCACUAGAUUCUGGGACUGUACCUUAUCUAUGCUGUGCAAAGGAAUAAGAAACUAGAGCUGUCUCGGGAGCCAGCAACAUCAGAUGUUCCCAGGAGCAAUGUUUGCAGGGUUCUAUGAGGCUGAUAAUAUUGGAUCAGUAUUCCUGAGGAAUCUGCCUUUCAGAAUCCCAGGUCCUGAAGGACAAGAAAUAUUUUGCAAACAAAUCAAAUGUACAUUUAGGAAGAUGAAAUCAUGCAACAGAAAGAUUUUUCAGAAUUUUUCAGCAACGGAUUUUACACAUAAUUCAGAAGGAAGAAAGAACAGAUGAGUUUGGGAAUGAGGAGACCAGAUGUCAAGACUGGACUACAUCUUUAUACUCAUUUCCAGAUUUAAAGUUCUAUGUUGUAUUUUAUUUGUUGCAAAGCAAUAAAAUAUUCCUCCCUCCUGUGA